rnacentral:rRNA from 1 species
AUUGAACGCUGGCGGCAUGCUUUACACAUGCAAGUCGAACGGCAGCACGGGGGCGAACCCUCGGUGGCGAGUGGCGAACGGGUGAGUAAUACAUCGGAACGUGUCCUAUUGUGGGGGAUAACCAGUCGAAAGAUUGGCUAAUACCGCAUGAGCUGGAGACAGGAAAGCGGGGACCCGCAAGGCCUCGCGCGAUUGGAGCGGCCGAUGUCCGAUUAGCUAGUAGGAGGGUAAAGGCCUACCUAGGCGACGAUCGGUAGCUGGUCUGAGAGGAUGAUCAGCCACACUGGGACUGAGACACGGCCCAGACUCCUACGGGAGGCAGCAGUGGGGAAUUUUGGACAAUGGGGGCAACCCUGAUCCAGCCAUGCCGCGUGAGUGAAGAAGGCCU